rnacentral:rRNA from 1 species
GAUGGAGGGUUUGAUCCUGGCUCAGGACGAACGCUGGCGGCGUGCCUAAGGCAUGCAAGUCGAGCGGUAGCUCCUAUUGGUUUAUGCCGAUAGGAGUGAGAGCGGCGCACGGGUGAGUAACACGUAGGUAACCUACCCUAGAGAGGGGGAUAACACCUCGAAAGGGGUGCUAAACCCCCAUAUACUUACCGAGCGAUAUGCUCAGGUAAGGAAAGAGUAUAGAGGGGUAACCCUCUAUGCUGCUCUGGGAUGGGCCUGCGGCCUAUCAGCUAGUUGGUGGGGUAAUGGCCCACCAAGGCUAAGACGGGUAGCCGGCCUGAGAGGGUGGUCGGCCACACUGGGACUGAGACACGGCCCAGACUCCUACGGGAGGCAGCAGCCGGGAAUCUUCCGCAAUGGGGGAAACCCUGACGGA